rnacentral:rRNA from 1 species
UUCGCAAUGCCCGAAAGGGUGACGAAGCGACGCCGCGUGGGUGAGGAAGGCCUUCGGGUUGUAAAGCCCUGUCAGGAGUUAAGAAAUGUAGAUUCGCUAAUAUCGGGUCUAUUUGACAAAGGCUCCAAAGGAAGCCACGGCUAACUCUGUGCCAGCAGCCGCGGUAAUACAGAGGUGGCAAGCGUUGUUCGGAAUUAUUGGGCGUAAAGAGCACGUAGGUGGAUUUGUAAGUCAGAUGUGAAAGCCUUCUGUUCAACGGAAGAAUUGCAUCUGAAACUACAAACCUUGAGUGUAGGAGGGGAGAAUGGAACUUCUGGUGGAGCGGUGAAAUGCGUAGAUAUCAGAAGGAACGCCGGCGGCGAAAGCGAUUCUCUGGCCUAUUACUGACACUCAGUGUGCGAAAGCUAGGGGAGCAAACGGGAUUAGAUACCCCGGUAGUCCUAGCCGUAAACGACGGGCACUAAGUAGAGGGGUUUU